GGUCCAGAUGUCUGAGUUUUAAAAGACCUGGCUGAAGAGCUUGCUGGACCAUUAAUGUUAACGUUCAUUAAGUCUUGGAACACUGAAGAAGUACCAGAAAACUGGAAGAAAGCUAGUAUUGUGCCAAAAGUUUAAAAGGGUAAAUGGCAUGGCCUAUCCAAAUAACACACCGCUGGAGAUACCCAGAGCUGUAAGCCACUGUGUUAUCCCUCUGCAUCAGCAAGAAUGAGAUUUUGCUGUCAAAUAGACCACGUGUCAUCUCCUUGACAUACAAGUCUGACUUGGUCAUCAGCAAACUCCUCAAGGCUCUCCUGGCCCAAAUCUGGACUAGCAGCAAUGACCUGGAGGGAAACAUAACAUCAAUACUAAUAAAGUUUGAAGAUGACCCCCAGUUUUUUUGGGGAGUGGCAAGUAAUGAAGAGGACAGGUCACUGAUACAGAGCAAGCUGGAUCACUUGCAUACAGAAUAGUGGUCCAACAGAUGGAUCGGAAGACCCUGGGACUUGAAAAUUACAGUGAGAUAGACCAUGAUCUGGAGGAGUCAUUUAACUAACAGGAUGUUGACCAAGGCUUUGUCAUCACCGGCUGACCUUGUGAAAGUCUUACACACAACUCAGUGGUAUUUCUCUGUCCAUUUGUAUGUUUGUAACGUGAUAACUUUUGAAUGCUGCAUAUGAUCAAUUCCAAAUUUUCAGGGAAUCUGCUGGGUAUCA